UACGCAUGUGCAAUGUUAGUCUCCGUGCACCUCUCCUGGUGUUCGUUUCGUUAUCUACGUGUUCGACAGUGUAAAAUAAUUUUUGUUUUGCUUCUUAGGUGUUUCUAUGUUUCCGCUCCACAUAACUUCGAAAAUUGUUGUUUGGGAAUAGUAAUUUUUGUUGGUUCGAGUAACGUGCUGAGGCAUUAUAGACAAUUAACGCGAUUUAAAAUAAAGUUGAAAGUGACACUAAUUCGCUUUGAUGUAGCCUACGUUAUAGGUGCAGAAACAAAACUGAAGCCACUUGAAAAUGUAACCAUGUCAACAAGGUUAUGUGGACUGGUUUAUCUUGCUUUCCGAAUGCAACCUGAAGAACCAUCAUAAUGUGAAUUGCGUUUUAUCAACAGCGUCUGCUCUGGUUAAUGCCAUGGUGAUGGAGGCAGCAAGGACCUCUGAAAUGUUGGUAAACUUCUACAAGACUACACGGCGCUACAACUCAGAAGGGAAACUGCUUCCUGUGUUUCUUAAAAAAUUAAAAUGAAAAAUUGUGGUAUCGCAAACGUUCUUUUAACUGUUAUUCCAAUUAAAAUUAAUACAUAAAUCACA